CGGGCAGGCGGCCUGUUAAGUCUUCUGUGAAAACCCGGGGCUCAACUCCGGGAAUGCAGGAGAUACUGGCAGGCUAGAGAAUGGUAGAGGCUAGCGGAAUUCCUGGUGUAGCGGUGGAAUGCGUAGAUAUCAGGAAGAACACCUGUGGCGAAGGCGGCUAGCUGGGCCAUUUCUGACGCUCAUCCGCGAAAGCGUGGGGAGCAAACA
rnacentral:rRNA from 1 species